rnacentral:rRNA from 1 species
AUACGGAAGGUCCGGGCGUUAUCCGGAUUUAUUGGGUUUAAAGGGAGCGCAGGCGGAGAUGCAAGCGUGACGUCAAAUUUCGGGGCUCAACCCCGUCUCGCGUCGCGAACUGCGUCCCUUGGUUGCGGGAAGGGGAGGCGGAACUCGUGGUGUAGCGGUGAAAUGCAUAGAUAUCACGAAGAACUCCGAUCGCGAAGGCAGCCUUCCGGCCCGUCAACGACGCUCAUGCUCGAAGGUGCGGGUAUCAAACAGGAUUAGAUACCCUGGUAGUCCGCACAGUAAACGAUGGACACCCGCGGUUUGGCCUGUAUGGCUGAGCCGCCAAGCGAAAGCGUUAAGUGUCCCACCUGGAGAGUACGCCGGCAACGGUGAAACUCAAAUGAAUUGACGGGG